rfam:Mesocricetus auratus contig196489, whole genome shotgun sequence.
UCACCAGUCAGGCUCUGGCCAUAUUCCAGGACAUAGCAGAUCCUGGGUAUGACCAGAGCCCGACUGUACA